UUUACCUGGAAAUAUCAGUAUUUAUAAUGUUAAAAAAGGGGGGGGGUGGCACUUUAAAGACUAACUUUUAUAUUUUUGUAAUAUUAGCUUUUUGCGGACGAGUCACGGUGGAGCGCCGUAGAAGAAGAGGAAAAUGAAACAUGAGAUGGAGUGAGCCGAUAAAGGAAGCCACAACCUUAAUUUCGCAAGGCAAAAGAAAACAGAACAGCCAUGUCGGCAAAAACAUAUUCCAAAAUCUUGACUUGAACAGAUCCCUCAGUUAGCAAGAAGUGUGCAAAAUGAAGAAAAGCAAAGCUGUGCAAGGAUUUCCAGCUUGUUCCAGAUUGAUGUCCUUAGCAAGGGUUAAAGGGACUGAAAUCCUAUUUCAUAGAGAGGGGACUGGGAAGCAGAGGAGGGACCCAUGGUGAUCCUUUCCAUCCCUUUUCUUUCCUCCAUCGUCUUUCCCUCCAAGCCCAAAGAGCCCCCUGCCUUUUCCCAAGGCAGAGCGGUUGCAGGAUCAGGGCUAGGAAACCCACCCGGAUGCAAGCUCCCCACAAAUCAGGGGGAGUUUUCCUACCAGCCCUAAAUGAUUGGGAAGCCCCUUCUCUUUAUCUUUGCUGUCAGUGGCUGAAGCCAUUCAGAUCCACCCAAACUGGGAUCAUAUACUCUGAUCAUCCAAGAACGCCUUGGAGGCGGAGAACUGAGUCAGAGAGGGUGGAUCAGGACCCCCUUCCCGGGUGGUGGGUUCCUCGUGAGCCAGGUAGUGCAGGACAAGAGGGAAGAGUGAAUGGAGGCACCCACCCCUUUACCUGACUUUGCCACAAUGCUGGGAACCUUUCCUGGCUCAUCUUUUCUUUCUGGAAGAGACCGAGUUGGUGCCAAGCAUUGGAAAGAUGCUGGGUGCUUCCUUGCCUCAGACCUCUCUCCGAACCUCAAGGUAUAUGACCCGUUCAGUAUGCUUUGGCCCAAGAUGUGCAUUAGGGAAGUUAAGGAUAUGGUCCAUGAAGGGUUGUAUCCGGAGCCUAUGGCCUGGUCACAUUGUUCCUUUAUCUUCCCUGCAAUAGGGGAACAGGGAGAGAAGCCUUCCAGUCUGGCUGAGGCUAAAAUGUUGACCUCUUCUCUCAGGGAGUCAUGACUUUUGAAGACAUUGCUGUGUAUUUUACGGAGGAGGAGUGGGCGCUGCUGGAUCCAGGCCAAAGGGCUCUCCACAGGGAAGUCAUGGAGGAGAAUUUAAUCAAUCUGGUCACUCUCGGUAAGUGUUUUUCCCCCAUUUAGGUUGAGAAGACCAAUUUAUAAAUGGUACCAAAGAUUUUCUGUUGUGUGCACACCAGUUUUCUGCUCUUCCCGUCUGGUAGUUCUGCGAGUUUCCCCUCCUAAAGGGUGCUGUUAAUGGCAGAACCAGAGGACUUCUGUAAGCGUUGUCUGCCCAGUUACAUUUAGUUAGUUUUUCUUCCAUCAUUUGAGACUCAAAUGUUGCAUUUUGACUGAAUUUCGUUUUUCAUUUCAGCUACUGAUAGGAGAGAGGGGAGGACUGAGG
rnacentral:lncRNA from 1 species